rnacentral:tRNA from 1 species
UCUCAUGGCGUAGUGGUAACGCGCCCCAACUAGAGAUCGGGGAGUCGUGAGUUCGAUUCUCACUGAGA